CCUACGGGAGGCAGCAGUGAGGAAUAUUGGUCAAUGGGAGAGAUCCUGAACCAGCCAAGCCGCGUGAGGGAAGACGGCCCUAUGGGUUGUAAACCUCUUUUGUCGGAGAACAAAACCCGGGACGAGUCCCGGACUGCGUGUAUCCGAAGAAAAAGCAUCGGCUAACUCCGUGCCAGCAGCCGCGGUAAUACGGAGGAUGCGAGCGUUAUCCGGAUUUAUUGGGUUUAAAGGGUGCGUAGGCGGUCUGUUAAGUCAGCGGUAAAAGUGCGGGGCUCAACCCCGUCGAGCCGUUGAAACUGGCAGACUUGAGUUGGCGAGAAGUACGCGGAAUGCGCGGUGUAGCGGUGAAAUGCAUAGAUAUCGCGCAGAACUCCGAUUGCGAAGGCAGCGUACCGGCGCCAGACUGACGCUGAGGCACGAAAGCGUGGGGAUCGAACAGGAUUAGAUACCCCUGUAGUC
rnacentral:rRNA from 1 species